rnacentral:rRNA from 1 species
UACGUAGGGGGCAAGCGUUGUCCGGAUUUAUUGGGCGUAAAGAGCGUGUAGGCGGCCAGACAGGUCCGUUGUGAAAACUCGAGGCUCAACCUCGAGACGUCGAUGGAAACCGUCUGGCUAGAGUCCGGAAGAGGAGAGUGGAAUUCCUGGUGUAGCGGUGAAAUGCGUAGAUAUCAGGAGGAACACCGGUGGCGAAGGCGCACAUCUGGCCCGAUACUGACGCUGAGGCGCGAAAGCUAGGGGAGCAAACGGG